AUGACCAAACACAACUCAAGUCUCAAACCUACAUUUCUGAGAAGUGAUGUAAAAAUAAUGUUAUUGACAAUAACGCAAUCAGACUCUAGCCUAAUACUAAGUCUCUCUCUGUGUAGAUUGGAGCAACGCCAAGAUUCUUCCCCCCACCACCUUCUGCCCUUCCUCUCAGGGGAGACCCAUGAUGUGGCAUCGAAGUGCUGUUCUCAGGCCUUCGCUGACCUCAGUCUGCUGAGUUUCUGGGACGCAUGGAUGUGUCACAUAGGCUGUGGAGAGACCUGCCUUGCAAUUCUUCUAUAUUCCUCAAAGCCCCAUGCAUACAGAGAGCUGUUGAGUAAAUCCUCCUGGCCUGCUGGACCGCUCUAAGUGCACACACGGAGGUGUUCCCCACCAUGCAGAGCCCCAUGUACCUGGCUUCCGGUACACAGAAGAGCAUCAGGGACAAUCGACUGUUUCCCCCGCUCUGCAGCAUGAAGCCUGGGGGUACGAGGACAGGUGCAACCUGAAGCACCGCGUGCACAGGCGUUCCAGACUCUGCUCCAUUGCAUCUCCAGAAACGUGGUACUACCAACUCCCAGCUGCAGCUGAGCACUCGCCGUCACGCCAGGAACUGAUUUAGUGCUUUGCAUACAUUUUCUCAUUAAUCCUUCCUCAAGGCAUGGACUCGUAUUAUCUUCUUCUUACACAAGUGGAAAUGCUGGCACAGAGAGAUUAAGCAACUUGCCCAAGGUCACACAGUUUGUAACAGGUGGGAUUUGGGUUCGAACCCUGGUCACUGCUCAGCAGCCUGCACUGUGAAUCUCCUUGCUCUGCUGCUGCUGAGUGACCUGGGUGACAGCCAGUGACAGAGUCUUCCGCAGCUGGGUCAGCGUCCUGCUUAAUGUCUAAUCUAUAAAGGUAAUAUCAUGUACUGUGAUUAACAAUUCAAGUAUUUUUUUAAAACAAUCACAGUCUGCAACUGGCUGCUCCUUUAGCGGCAGUGUGUGGGGAAUACAGGUUUCCGGGCUUUCCUUGAAUGUCAGUUACACUCUCACGGUCCAAACCCCCACGACAAGCUGCAACCUAUCACCGUCUGAAAUCUGCUGCUCCCUCGUGCAUUUGUGAGUUUACAAUGACUUCCACGUGCAUGAGCAUCCUGUUAAUGCACCAGUAUUCGGAGUUGUCCUAGGAAGUGAGAGGAUUUUUUUUUUUCUUUUCCUUUAAAACCACAGGUCUACAGAAUGAAAAUGCUCAAUCUAAUGAGUGUAACCUGGAAAGUAAUUUCAUGGGCCAUAGUACAUUGAUGGCAAUAAUUCUUGGAUGUCAAAAGGAUAAGGACACAGUUUUCUGCUUCUAAUUUUAUUCUUAGAAAAUGAUGGUAUUGAGCUAUCCAUAGAGUGCUCCUGUGGAUUAAUUCCAGUUUUUCCUUUGUAGAGGAGAUUUGAGGGAAGUCUUAAUCUUCUUUAUAGUUAACUCUUAUCUCCACAUUCAGAAUUAAAAAUGGAAUGCUGGACUUCAGUCUUGCCUCCCCCGGCCCUGGGAGGGCUCACCUUCCUCCAGCGUACAGAGGAAUGGGGGCUGUGCCGGGUCUGACUUCCCCCAAAGCUGUUCCUUUCUAAUUUCCCGUCCAACAACCACCUAUGAACCUGUCUAAAAUGAGUAGUUCUUAUUCUAUGAUUCUGUUACCAAAGUUUUAUUUUCACCUUAUCUGAAAGGCAAACAGAGAGAUCUUCCAUCUGCUGUUUUGCUCCGCAAAUGCCCACAACAGCCCAGGCUAGGGCAAGCAAGAAGCCUGGAGCCUAGAAUGCAAUCCGGGUCUCCCAAAUGGGUGACAGGAACUCAAGCACUUGAGCUAUUACCUGCUGCCUCCCAAGUUGCACAUCCACAGGAAGCUAGAAUUGGAAGUGGAGCUGGGACAAAAAUCCAGGCACUCGAUACAAGAUGUGGGCAUCCCAAGUGGCAACUUAAUGCACUAAAGGCUAUUGUGACCCUUGAAAGGCAUUAAUAUUUUCUUCAGCUACUUGUCAUUUGUCAUGAAACUCAAUUCCGGAUCCUUUUGGAAUCUCAGCUUUGCAAACGUUCUGCAUUGCCUAGCUGCUUUUUUCCUAAAUCCGUAUGGAAGAGAGUAAAGAGCUUCUAAUUUUCUUUCUUUCAGCUGCUGGACAUGGCCGUAGGGUCCUUCCCCAGCCUUCCCUUCCCAUUCUGCCCUCUGCUUCUCUCCUCCCAUCUCCACACUUCUCCUGGGCUUCCGUUCCCUUCCCCCAGUCUCUCUUUUUUCCCCAAGCUGAUGUCCACGACAACAGGGAAGGACAGGAAGCAUUUGAGGGUUGGGGAGAAGUGGAGUCAGUCAGGUCCUUCUCACCAGCCCACGCCCACGUCCUCCCUGGAGCUUCAGGAUACACUGAGAGCUGCCAUGGCAUCAGUGUGUCCUCUGAUGCAGACGUGUAAUAUGGGAUGCAGGUUUUAAACAGCAUCUUAACCUCUGUACCGAACACCUGCUUGAUUUCCUACUUUAGAUAGAGAUGUGUGUAAUUUAACUGAAACCAAAGUAGUGGCAUUAAGAAGUGGGCCCUUUAAGAGCGAACAGGCCACGAGCACUCUGCCCAAGUGAAUAGGACAGAGGGACUUGUAAGGAGGCCUCCUCCAGGUUGCCUGUUUGCUCUUUGCUCCUCUGCCUUCUGGCCUGUGAGGACAUCACGUUCCGCGUCUCCGGAGGGUGCAGUCCUUGGUGGACACCAAACGUGCUGGUGCCUUGAUCUUGGACUUCGCAGCCUCCAAGGCUGUGAGAAAGCAGUUUCUGUUCUUUACAAAUUACCCAGUCUCCAAUAUUUUGCUAUAGUAGUGCAAACGCAGCAGGACAAAGGUCAUUAAUUCAGUAGCAAAUCAGCUGCUCAUUUUGGGCCAGAAGGAUAAGAAACCUGUAGGGAAAUGUCGAUGGCUGUGAGUCUCCAGCAUUUCUAACCUGGAGACGUUUGCACACCUGGUGGACCAGGCUCAGCCUGUCCAAGUGUGGGGAGGAAGCAACUGCAUGGCAAGCGCAGCAGGAUGUGGCUGUAAAAGACGCCCUGCUCUUCCUUUGUAUACCAUCUCCCACCCUUUCCAAAUGUCCUUUUCUCUUUUGUCUUAGCCAGGUAGCAAGCUCCAAUUCUAGAGCCACAAGGAGGCCAGUUCAUGCUUCAUUAAUUGUAAAAACUGCCGUCUCCAGGGACAUAGACCCCUCGUAUCUCCUCCCCCCACCCUCUUCUUCACCACCACAAUCACAGCCAGGGCAGAGACCUCUCGCAGGACACCUGCCCUGGGCCCUACUGGCAGGUGCUGAUUGUACAUUCAAAGACAACCCCUCUAGGCUUGGGGCCAUCCGCCCCAGUGCACAAAUGGCAGCAUCCUCCAGGACUGUUCUUUCCAAACUGCAAAUGGCUUGGUAGAACAUGAAAUCAAUUUAGUCAGGGAGACUGGUGUUCUGAAAAAUAAAGUAGAAUGGGAUGAAACA
rnacentral:lncRNA from 1 species